rnacentral:rRNA from 1 species
GCCAGACUCCUACGGGAGGCAGCAGUGAGGAAUAUUGGUCAAUGGGCGCAAGCCUGAACCAGCCAAGUCGCGUGAGGGAAGACGGCCCUACGGGUUGUAAACCUCUUUUGCCGGGGAGCAAGCCUGAGCAUGUGUGCCCAGGCGGAGAGUACCCGGAGAAAAAGCAUCGGCUAACUCCGUGCCAGCAGCCGCGGUAAUACGGAGGAUGCGAGCGUUAUCCGGAUUUAUUGGGUUUAAAGGGUGCGUAGGCGGGACGGUAAGUCAGCGGUAAAAAUGCGGAGCUCAACUCCGUCGAGCCGUUGAAACUGCCGUUCUUGAGUGAGCGAGAAGUAUGCGGAAUGCGUGGUGUAGCGGUGAAAUGCAUAGAUAUCGCGCAGAACUCCGAUUGCGAAGGCAGCAUGCCGGCUCCACACUGACGCUGAGGCACGAAAGCGUGGGUAUCGAACAGGAUUAGAUACCCUAGUAA